GGGACACGUGGUAUCCUGUCUGAAUAUGGGGGGACCAUCCUCCAAGGCUAAAUACUCCUGACUGACCGAUAGUGAACCAGUACCGUGAGGGAAAGGCGAAAAGAACCCCGGCGAGGGGAGUGAAAAAGAACCUGAAACCGUGUACGUACAAGCAGUGGGAGCACGCUUAGGCGUGUGACUGCGUACCUUUUGUAUAAUGGGUCAGCGACUUAUAUUCUGUAGCAAGGUUAACCGAAUAGGGGAGCCGAAGGGAAACCGAGUCUUAACUGGGCGUUAAGUUGCAGGGUAUAGACCCGAAACCCGGUGAUCUAGCCAUGGGCAGGUUGAAGGUUGGGUAACACUAACUGGAGGACCGAACCGACUAAUGUUGAAAAAUUAGCGGAUGACUUGUGGCUGGGGGUGAAAGGCCAAUCAAACCGGGAGAUAGCUGGUUCUCCCCGAAAGCUAUUUAGGUAGCGCCUCGUGAAUUCAUCUCCGGGGGUAGAGCACUGUUUCGGCAAGGGGGUCAUCCCGACUUACCAACCCGAUGCAAACUGCGAAUACCGGAGAAUGUUAUCACGGGAGACACACGGCGGGUGCUAACGUCCGUCGUGAAGAGGGAAACAACCCAGACCGCCAGCUAAGGUCCCAAAGUCAUGGUUAAGUGGGAAACGAUGUGGGAAGGCCCAGACAGCCAGGAUGUUGGCUUAGAAGCAGCCAUCAUUUAAAGAAAGCGUAAUAGCUCACUGGUCGAGUCGGCCUGCGCGGAAGAUGUAACGGGGCUAAACCAUG
rnacentral:rRNA from 6 species